rnacentral:lncRNA from 1 species
UUUUAUACAACAGUGAUCACAUGCCUUCGAACAGAUCAACACAAUGCAAUGGAAAGGAAUGAUCAUAUUGGUUUUGAUUAAAUGAAUAUACACCAUACAGAUCUUUUGUAUUAUUAAUGGACAAUUAUAUGUGAAAAUAUGGCAUUAGUUACAGUCUAUCCCUGCAAACCUGUUUUUAAUAUCUGUGUGCACGAUAGCAUGUUCUACUUUUCCCACUGUCAUGCCUACUGAACACGAGUGAGACAAACCCUCAUAUACAAGUUUAUAUAAGUCUUUUGCUUGUAGCAAAUUGUUAAUUCAGAAAAUAGGUUUUUGGGACCUUCGCGCAUCUAUGUCGGUCUCAAGUUUAUGUCUGUGCAGCCUGGGAAGGCAUCUUCUCUCUACUCCGCUUUGUCAAGUGCAUGUGUUCCGCCACACGUCAAGGUCACACAGCGGCAGCCCUCCUCUGGAACAAAAACAGAUCAAAGGUGUCUCCUCCCUUUCUCUCCCUCGCUCUCUCUGCCAUAGACCCACUGCUUCAUUGACUCCACCACUGAGUGGAAUCAGCACUGAUGGCACCCAGUGGAAAGCCACCAUGCAGCUGGAAGAGCAGCGAGAGAGACAGAGAAUCCAUGUGUAUAUUCAUUUGAGCUGCUCCCAAGACCUUGUCAGGUUUUAUGGAGCAGGACCCAAAUGCAGAGUCUGGAGAAAUCGAAUGCAGUGGUUUCACAAUAUGGAAGAUCUGUCUGACCGCAGCUGUCCCUACCUCAAUGCGGGUCUCCGGGGCGAGGCUGACCUCUCUCUCCUGAAGCCACUUCAAAGCGACCUGGGAUGGGCUGAAGGGGUAUGGGGUGUUGGGCCAGCCAGCACGGCUGCUGCUUCCCUGGGCUUUGGGAGCAGGGGAGCUGGGGCUGGAGUUAAGGUCCACCUGUGUCUGCACUCUUGGCCCAGCCAUGGCCCCAAACCUAUACCCUGUGCCACUGCUGCACAGCUCCACACGCCAUCUGGGUAGACAGACAGGGAGGAGGAAAGAAGAGGGAAGCGAUAACGGAAGGCAUUGUUGAUUCUGUAAAUGUACAUCAUUGUAUCACUGUCAACAUUUUUAAUGUAUAGCAUAUUAAUCAUACCGUAAAUGUGGAAAGGUGGAGCGAGAUUUACUGGUACGUUAGAAGAGGACAAUGCCCUCUUAAGUAUUAAGGCUUUUGAAUUAACAAACCUUCUCGAGGGUGCCCACCAUGUCAGCAUCAUUCUUAGCAUUGCAGCACUUUGAGAGGUCAGCUGACCCCACUGCCUGUAAACAACCAGAAAUUCAAAAAAUUCGGAGCCAUAAAUGUUGACUGAACAAUUUGGUUCACAUGUUCAGCUGUUGAGUAGAGAUUUCUGUCAUGUGCUAUGCAGAUGUCUGAUCCUUCUGGCUGUAAACAGCAUUUAAAAUACUGCAACGUAAUAAUGCAUAUUGGCAUUGCUGAUCUUUGUGACUUACUAUACUAAAUAUCACAAUGACAGUGUUUUUUAUGCAUCAUAGUGAAUUCCUGUGGCUCUGGUUUAUCAUACGCAAUGCUUAUUAAACAACUUCUUCAUGGCUUCUCAGCCAAAAACUGUAAACCUUAUUGUCAGAGUGCCACAACACAUGGAUAGAUUACUUCACUGAAUUCACUUUAAAGGUGACAUAUUAUGCUCAUAUUCAGGUUCAUUCUUUUAAUUUGGGUUACCACUUGAAAAGGUUUACAUGCUAUAAUGUACAGAAAAAGCCCCAGUGUUCUCAUACCGCCCAUUCCUGCAGCUCCUCUUUUCACCCUCUGUCUAAAACGCCUAGAUUUCUUUUAGACCCCCCUCAGCAUAACGUCAUUAUGUUUUAUCUAAAACCUUAGUCUGUAAAAUAAGUCGACCUUUCUAUGUGAAGUGCUUUGAGAUAUCCUAUGUGGAUUCAAUAUUUGAUUUGGCGCAAUACAAAUAAAAUUGAAUAAAAUAAAAUUAAAGUAACUUGUAAUUAGUAGUAGCAUGGAAAGUAAAUUAAAAUUAAAAUUUGAGCACAGGACUAAUAAGUACACCACAAAUAAAUACACUAAGUUACUUACUAUACUAUUACACUAGGUGCAAUAGAACAGAGCCAUCAUUAAAAUUAUUAAUAACACCAGUCUGGGGGAUUUUCAAUAACACUAUGAAACUAGGAUCAUCACUUCAUCAUCCCACACCUGUUAACUUUGUUCAACCUUAACUAAGAAUUUAUUUUCAGCAUUUUCCAUUGUGGAAGGCCUUUUAAUUUUACAUCAAAGAUGGAUUAUUCAACAAGCCUUAAAUCACAGAUCCAGGGGGCAUAGGUUCUUUUCCUGUUGGUGAGUCAAUCAAAUGACAACAAAGAGAUGUAAUUCCACAAAAGAGACUAAUGGUGCAUAUUUCAAUUGAAUUUCAAUUGAAUUUCAUUUGUAUAGCGCCAAAUCACAACAUACAUUGUCCCAAGGCACUCUACAUAGUAAGGUCAAUAAGACACCAAGACAUCUAAAAGGGGUUGCUAAACCUGUACAAAGAGACAAAAGACUACCACAAAGAGACACAAAACGAGUAUGAUAACAUGGUAACACAUACAAUACCCCACAAUCUUGGUCCGCUAGAGUUACUCAAAUCAUGCUAAGAUAACAUAUUCAUUUCAGUAACUUCAGUUUUUACAAGAUUAUGGUGUUAUGCUCUGUCUAAUAGGAGACAUCUUAGAAACACAUAUUAUUGUUUGUACUGUACCGUUUUGUUGUCUUUCAUGUUGUGCACAGUCAAGUUCCCCACAUGGGACACCCAAUGACUGAACUGCACUGCACUACAGAAAACAUGCAAAAGGAAAAGAACGAAACAAAAACGACAUUACUACAGAGAUUCAGAGUACAUAAGAAUGACAAAAGGACCACAAAAGGAACACGGCAACAAAAGAAAAAGGAUGCAUGAGUACAUGGAGACAAAGCAACAUGUGCAAAGACACACAAGACUUUCACAAAGAGAUUAUAAACUAACUAACUAACUAACUAACUAACUAACUAAGUAACUGACUAACUAACUAACUAAGUAACUGGCUGACUAACUAACUAAGUAACUGACUGACUGACUGACUGACUAACUAACUAACUAACUAACUAACUAACUGACUCACGGGACGUGCUCUUAAGAGUGUCAUAGUCCGUCCAUUAAUACACGGGAAACCCCAGUG